rnacentral:rRNA from 1 species
AACGAACGCUGGCGGCAUGCCUAACACAUGCAAGUCGAACGAGACCUUCGGGUCUAGUGGCGCACGGGUGCGUAACGCGUGGGAACCUGCCUUUAGGUUCGGACUAACUCAGAGAAAUUUGAGCUAAUACCGGAUGAUGUCUUCGGACCAAAGAUUUAUCGCCUUUAGAUGGGCCCGCGUUGGAUUAGCUAGUUGGUGGGGUAAGGCCUACCAAGGCGACGAUCCAUAGCUGGUCUGGGAGGAGGAUCAGCCACACUGGGACUGAGACACGGCCCAGACUCCUACGGUAGGCAGCGGUCGGGAGUAUUAGACAGCGAACGAGAGUCUGAUACAACUGUGUCACGUGAGGUAUGAAGGCCUUAGGGUGGUAAAGCUCUUGUACCGGGGAUGUUAAUGACAGUACCGUAUGAAUAAGCUCCGGCUAACUCCGUG